AGAGUUUGAUCCUGGCUCAGAAUCAACGCUGGCGGCGUGCCUCAGACAUGCAAGUCGAACGAUUAAACUUCCUUUCGGGGAAGAUAUAAAGUGGCGUACGGGUGAGUAACACGUAGGUAAUGUACCUUUGGGUGGGGAAUAACUUAGGGAAACUUAAGCUAAUACCGCAUAAUGCAGCGGCUCGAUAUCGAGACAGUUGUUAAAGGAGUAAUCCGCCUAAAGAGCAGCCUGCGGCAGAUUAGCUAGUUGGUAAGGUAAUGGCUUACCAAGGCUACGAUCUGUAACCGACCUGAGAGGGUGGUCGGUCACACUGACACUGAAUAACGGGUCAGACUCCUACGGGAGGCAGCAGUCGGGAAUUUUGGGCAAUGGGCGAAAGCCUGACCCAGCAACGCCGCGUGAAGGAUGAAGUCUCUCGGGAUGUAAACUUCGUAAGAAUAGGAAGAAUAAAUGACGGUACUAUUUGUAAGGUCCGGCUAACUACGUG
rnacentral:rRNA from 1 species